rnacentral:rRNA from 1 species
GACGAACGCUGGCGGCGUGCUUAACACAUGCAAGUCGAACGGAAAGGCCCUGCUUUUGUGGGGUGCUCGAGUGGCGAACGGGUGAGUAACACGUGAGUAACCUGCCCUUGACUUUGGGAUAACUUCAGGAAACUCGGGCUCAUACCGGAUAGGAGCUCCUGCUGCACGGUGGGGGUUGGAAAGUUUCGGCGGUUGGGGAUGGACUCGCGGCUUAUCAGCUUGUUGGUGGGGUAGUGGCUGACCAAGGCUUUGACGGGUAGCCGGCCUGAGAGGGGGACCGGCGACAUUGGGACUGAGAGACGGCCCAGACUCCUACGGGAGGCAGCAGUGGGGAAUAUUGCACAACGGGCGGAAGCCUGAUGCAGCAACGCCGCGUGCGGGAUGACGGCCUUCGGGUUGUAAACCGCUUUCGCCUGUGACGAAGCGUGAGUGACGGUAAUGGGUAAAGAAGCACCGGCUAACUACGUG